rnacentral:rRNA from 1 species
ACGAACGCUGGCGGCGUGCUUAACACAUGCAAGUCGAACGGAAAGGCCCUGCUUUUGUGGGGUGCUCGAGUGGCGAACGGGUGAGUAACACGUGAGUAACCUGCCCUUGACUUUGGGAUAACUUCAGGAAACUGGGGCUAAUACCGGAUAGGAGCUCCUGCUGCAUGGUGGGGGUUGGAAAGUUUCGGCGGUUGGGGACGGACUCGCGGCUUAUCAGCUUGUUGGUGGGGUAGUGGCUUACCAAGGCUUUGACGGGUAGCCGGCCUGAGAGGGUGACCGGCCACAUUGGGACUGAGGUACGGCCCAGACUCCUACGGGAGGCAGCAGUGGGGAAUAUUGCACAAUGGGCGGAAGCCUGAUGCAGCAACGCCGCGUGCGGGAUGACGGCCUUCGGGUUGUAAACCGCUUUCGCCUGUGACGAAGCGUGAGUGACGGUAAUGGGUAAAGAAGCACCGGCUAACUACGUG